rnacentral:rRNA from 1 species
UACGGGGGGAGCAAGCGUUGUUCGGAUUUACUGGGCGUAAAGGGCGCGUAGGCGGUCACCGCAAGUCGACUGUGAAAUCUCCGGGCUUAACCCGGAAAGGUCAGCCGAUACUGCGGGGCUAGAGUGCAGAAGGGGCAACUGGAAUUCUCGGUGUAGCGGUGAAAUGCGUAGAUAUCGAGAGGAACACCUGCGGCGAAGGCGGGUUGCUGGGCUGACACUGACGCUGAUGCGCGAAAGCUAGGGGAGCGAACGGG